rnacentral:lncRNA from 1 species
GAUCUAGCUCGUGAAAAAAGUAAGUAUUGUACAUACGCGAGUGGCCUUCCUGUCUCAUGAAUGCCAAGAACUCGUGCAGCUGAACACGUCCAUCACCAUUCAUGUCAAGUGAUUUGAAGAAUUCAUAUGCCAGGGUUUGAACUUCUGGAGAGCCAGCUCUGUAGUGCGCUCUCGCAAUUUCACGCAAUUCUUCCAUCUUUGGAGAGCUAGCUCUUUAGAACAAUUGUUGAAUAUUUGUUCAAAAUCAAUGAAAUAAUAAAGGGCUAAUUGUUAGACAUAAUUGUGGAAUUAGUGGAAUCAAAAGAAAUUGAAAAUGGAAAAUUUGAUUUUUGUCUAUGCCUAUGCGUAUGCAUAGGCUUAUUUUUGUGCAUAUAAGAGAUGUGUUUUGACCAAAACAAAAUCAAAUUUACUUUUACUAUGCAUACACAUAGUGUUAAAAAAUAGUCAACGGUUGGUUUUUCAAUUUGAAACUUGGGAACCGUUUCGAAUUAAAAGUUGUCACUUUUCAUCAUGUUUUGACAGCAUUUCGUGGUGUAUUGAUUGAGGCCUAUAUAGGUGAUAAAUGAUCAAUACAAACUAUUAGAUUUUGAGUUGGCAAUUCUGUGAACAAAAGGGUCAAAUUGUAAUUGUUCAAAAGUUUGGGGUCAAUUUGUCAAUGUUUAAAAGUUAGGGAUCAAUUUGUACAUGUUUGAAAAAUGGGGACUAAGUUGCAAUUUUGUCAAAGUAUGUUAGGGUUCGAGUUGUGAAGUAUGGCAAGAUGUAUCAUUGAGGUUUCACUAGCUGCACGCCAAGUGGUCGCUCGAGUGUCGAAAGCAAAGAGCCUCUCGCUCGCUUUUCGUCCCUACCUCACUUUUUCCUCGAGCAAUAAUGUUGCCUGGAGAACCCUAUUUUGCCUUUUUCGAGAUUUUGACCUGACCCAUAUGACCCAAAACAUCUCAUAUAAAUUGUGUUGUUUCAGACGUUUGUUAAGGAUUGAACUUGAAGAAAAUUCUCUACAUCUGGAAUCUUCCUCUCAAUCCCACAUUCGAUUAGUGCAAUAACUUAAUAACAUCAAAUCUACCUUUAUCAAACACUGUAACACAUCCUUCCAGAGCAUUUAUUGAAUCUUGAAGAUCANNN